rnacentral:rRNA from 1 species
UCUACGGGCGGCAGCAGUGGGGAAUAUUGGACAAUGGGCGAAAGCCUGAUCCAGCCAUGCCGCGUGUGUGAAGAAGGCCUUCGGGUUGUAAAGCACUUUCAGUGGGGAAGAAAGCCUUGGGGCUAAUACCCUCGAGGAAGGACAUCACCCACAGAAGAAGCACCGGCUAACUCCGUGCCAGCAGCCGCGGUAAUACGGAGGGUGCGAGCGUUAAUCGGAAUUACUGGGCGUAAAGCGCGCGUAGGCGGUCUGAUAAGCCGGUUGUGAAAGCCCCGGGCUCAACCUGGGAACGGCAUCCGGAACUGUCAGGAUAGAGUGCAGGAGAGGAAGGUAGAAUUCCCGGUGUAGCGGUGAAAUGCGUAGAGAUCGGGAGGAAUACCAGUGGCGAAGGCGGCCUUCUGGACUGACACUGACGCUGAGGUGCGAAAGCGUGGGUAGCAAACAGGAUUAGAUACCCUUGUAGUC